CUUCUUCUCUCUCUCUCCUUUUCAGCGGAAGUGAAGUCACACAACACAACUUCCAAAACAUGAGAGAACAGAACCAGACCUGUUCUUCUCUCUAAAAUCGAGUUCAACAAUCCCGAAUCUCGCACUAACAAGAACACAAGGUACUAGAUAAUGGAUCCACCUCUCAGUGAUGCUCCUCCUGUUGAUGCAAAUAUUGUUGCUCCUGUUGUUGAAACUCGACCACAACCAUCAACUGAGCCCAUGCCCAACCCAUCUGAUCCGACCACAACUGAUCCGAUUAAACGAGUAUGCUGUGCGGUCGAUUUCGACUGUUUUGUGGUUCAAAAAUGGUUCCAAUAAACUCAAACCGAUCAUAUUCGGAUGAAUAACGGUUUAUGGAUGAAUCCGACCCGUGCACACCCUUAAUUGAGUUUAUUAUUAUUCCUAAUAAAUUCGAUGUGGUCAAUGGAGUGAUGACAACAUUGAACUUUUUGAUUUUCUCAUCAUUCAUUCAAAACAAUCAAUUUGAAUGGUUGUAAGUGCAAGAAUCCAUAUUCCUUAUACUUCAACAUUAUAAAACUCGAGGUCGAGUUUUUUCGAAUGCAGGGAAGAAUGAUGAAAAUCAUGGAAAGAAGAAAAAGAGCAAAUCUGAAAUUUCAUAUGAAGUACAUUUAGGAUAUCAAGAUUUAAAAAUUUGGAAUUAUUUUGAGUCUUCAUGUCAUUGUAGUAGGUUUUAAUAGUUAAGGAUAUUAUGGUAAUUUCAGUUUUGUUGGACAUGGGCUGUAAGGUUGCCCAUGCGUUUUAUUUUGGGUUAAAUUAUUAAAUGGGUUAUUACAUAUGAGUUUUAUUAUGUGUAAAAUAAUCUUAGUGGUCAAAAAUUCAAGUUUCCUAUUUUGAUAUUGAAGUAAAAUUAGAAGUCAUUAAAGUUUCCUAUUAUGAUUGAAGUAGAAUUGGAAGUCAUAGUUGGUCUAAAACAUUAGUAGUUGCUAUAUAUUUUUAAUUUCUAAAUUUGAGUUAUAGUCCUUAUAGAAUUAGGAGAGCCUUUAGCCUUUAAAUAAAUGUGUAAUCUCAAUGAUUCGGGCAAAGUUGAUAUUUUGAAAAUUUGAGAUUGUAUUUGUGUGAUUGGCCUAUCCCUUGUGAGGGUGAAACACUUCUCUCUUUCUCUUUCUUCUUCUUCUUCUAUCCAGCAAGGUUACUGUUCACGUCACUAUUCACAGUACUUACAACAACCACCCAACUACCCUUAAACACUUGUGUUUUCAUUCCUAAAACCCAAGCCUUUUACAAACCCUUGAACUCCCAUUUUUUAAAUACAUUUGCAGUCAUAAAAUCUCACCAAAUCCAAUCCUACAAGUCUAUUGUUGCUGCUACCAGUAUACUUAACCCGGGCUCACUACUUGUGGGAAAGUAAUCCCUACUCGUCCUACAUCAAUUGGUUAUUUUCGUACUAAACACUAUUACAAGUUGUAUUAUGUCAUUCUAAUUAAAAAAAGAGAGAAAAAAAGAAUCGAAAUAUGUCGGAUAUGAUAGUUUCAAGAAUUGCAUGAAUCGUAAAAAGUGAAUCGAAUCGUGAAUCGAUUGUGAAUCGUGCGAUUCACUAGAGAUCACUUCCAAAAUAGAUUCACCAUAGAUUCGUAUCUAUUUUGCGAAAAUUGCAAAUCAAAUCGUGAAUUGUAAGAUUCUGAUAACAAAGUUCACCAUAUACAUACAAGACUAGGUGGAAUUUAGUAAUUGUUUUUUUUAGCAACUAAUGUUCUACUAGAUUAGAGGAACUUAAAAAUUUUAUUAAAAAAAAAAAAAACCCAAAAAAAAAGAUUGGUUAAAAAUCUCAUCUUUA